GAUGAAGAACGCAGCGAAAUGCGAUACGUAAUGUGAAUUGCAAAUUCAGUGAAUCAUCGAGUCUUUGAACGCACAUUGCGCCCCCUGGUAUUCCGGGGGGCAUGCCUGUCCGAGCGUCAUUGCUGCCCUCAAGCACGGCUUGUGUGUUGGGCCCCGUCCUCCGAUCCCGGGGGACGGGCCCGAAAGGCAGCGGCGGCACCGCGUCCGGUCCUCGAGCAUAUGGGGCUUUGUCACCCGCUCUGUAGGCCCGGCCGGCGCUUGCCGAUCAACCCAAAUUUUUUAUCCAGGUUGACAUCGGAUCAGGUAGGGAUACCCGCUGAACUUAAGCAUAUCAAUAAGCGGAGGA
rnacentral:misc_RNA from 1 species